rnacentral:rRNA from 1 species
AGUCGAGGGGCAGCAUGGUCUUAGCUUGCUAAGGCUGAUGGCGACCGGCGCACGGGUGAGUAACACGUAUCCAACCUGCCGUCUACUCUUGGCCAGCCUUCUGAAAGGAAGAUUAAUUCAGGAUGGGAUCAUGAGUUCACAUGUCCGCAUGAUUAAAGGUAUUUUCCGGUAGACGAUGGGGAUGCGUUCCAUUAGAUAGUAGGCGGGGUAACGGCCCACCUAGUCAACGAUGGAUAGGGGUUCUGAGAGGAAGGUCCCCCACAUUGGAACUGAGACACGGUCCAAACUCCUACGGGAGGCAGCAGUGAGGAAUAUUGGUCAAUGGGCGAUGGCCUGAACCAGCCAAGUAGCGUGAAGGAUGACUGCCCUAUGGGUUGUAAACUUCUUUUAUAAAGGAAUAAAGUCGGGUAUGCAUACCCGUUUGCAUGUACUUUAUGAAUAAGGAUCGGCUAACUCCGUGCCAGCAGCCGCGGUAAUACGGAGGAUCCGAGCGUUAUCCGGAUUUAUUGGGUUUAAAGGGAGCGUAGAUGGAUGUUUAAGUCAGUUGUGAAAGUUUGCGGCUCAACCGUAAAAUUGCAGUUGAUACUGGAUGUCUUGAGUGCAGUUGAGGCAGGCGGAAUUCGUGGUGUAGCGGUGAAAUGCUUAGAUAUCACGAAGAACUCCGAUUGCGAAGGCAGCCUGCUAAGCUGCAACUGACAUUGAGGCUCGAAAGUGUGGGUAUCAAACAGGAUUAGAUACCCUGGUAGUCCACACGGUAAACGAUGAAUACUCGCUGUUUGCGAUAUACGGCAAGCGGCCAAGCGAAAGCGUUAAGUAUUCCACCUGGGGAGUACGCCGGCAACGGUGAAACUCAAAGGAAUUGGCGGGGG